rnacentral:SRP_RNA from 1 species
ACCAGGUGCGGUGGUGCAUACCUGUAGUCCCAGCUACUCGGGAGGAUGAGGUGGGAGGAUCGCUUGAGCCCAGGAGUUCUGAGCUGCAGUGCGCUAUGCCGAUCGGGUAUCCGCACUAAGUUCGGCAUCAAUAUGGUGACCUCCCGGGAGCCAGGGACCACCAGGUUGCCUAAGGAGGGAUGAACCGGCCCAGGUCAGAAAUGGAGCAGGUCAAAACUCCCGUGCUGAUAAGCAGUGGGAUGGCGCCUGUGAAUAGCCACUGCACUCCAGCCUAGGCAACAUAGUGAGACCCGGUCUCU